GAGCUGGAGAGGACACAGAAAGCAAGUCAAAACCCAGAAGGUUCACACAGCACAACUAGUCUACAAGGACUAGUUUGAACUACUCUCACCAGCUAAGACAACACUUCUUCUCUAUAAGGACAGGGAGAAGAAUAGCUGAGCUGUGAGGGCUUGAGACAGACCCCUGCCAGCAGCAGAGGAGCACAAGAAGCUGACUGCACCAGCUGAGAUUUCUUUGCCAGUUAUAAUUAAGUAAGGGGAAACUAUUUGUUACAAAAAUUUGCAUUUAAAGGUUGAGAAAAAUGGAGUUCUUGUGUCCCACAAGAACCAGGGGCCAGCAGACAUAGGAAGAAGAGUAAGCUUUGGGCUAAGAUUUGAGUAAGAGAGCAUGAGGAAAGAGGGAGAAUUUCUGGGAAAGAAUAUCUGACCAACCAGGUAUGUCUCUAAGAGACACUGUCAUGUUUUUUCUCCUUUCUUAAAAAAGCUGGAAUACUUUGGAGAUGUUCUGGGCAGUGAGGUGGUGGUAGAGAGGAAUUGGUAUAAACAAAGAAGACUGAUGCCAGAAAGUAUCUGGCAAGGUAGUGUUAGGCUGAAUCUAAUAAAAAGAGCAGCAUAGAUAUCUUAGGCCUUUCUGCCAAGCCAUAAAAGUGAUUACUUUCCUUGGAAUAUGCUGUAAUCUUCCCUGAAUCCACAUGCAUUUCAGGUGCAGGACAGCAACUUUCUCCCUAGUUUUCUCUGAGUCUGGGAAGAUUCACCAAAUUUUCCAAGAUGAUACUUUAUAGUUUUUCCUUUCUUUGUUUCAGUUCUUCUUGUAAAACUCAUUUCUUUAAGCCCUGGUAAAGUCUGAUAAGCAGAGAGGUUAGUCCUUCUUGCUACUUGACAGGGGACAUUUAGUUCUUGGAUCUCCAGACAGCAAGUUUAAGCUGGUAACACUGAAUUUUCCCAGCAGAAAAUCAAACCCAACCCAGAGUGGUCAGACUGACAGUAAAUGAUUGCUAAAGGGUUGCAUGAAUAGUCAAGCAUAGAUGGACAUCUUUAGCAUGUAAUCCUUUAAUCCAGGGAAAUAAGCCAACAAUAUCACAAGUACAGCACAUAAAUGAGUAUGUUUUGUUCUACAUACACUCGUAAGGUAUGUACAGGCAUGUAUUUAGGGAGAGAAGGAGGGAGAGGGCAAGAGUAAACACACCCGUGGAAAGCCAAAUAAGGCAAGAUAGGAAAUACAAAAGCCCCGUUAGGCUCAUGACCGCUGGUGGCACAGCAACUGCAUCCCAGCCAAGGCUCCCAGGGGCUUGAAGGCAGCUUCAGCAGAGGGACCGGCCUUCAGACUUCCAUUAAAAGUCACUCACCCCGAAGCACUGACAUAUAAUGAAGUCAUUGCUCCAGCAAAAACCACCCUUCCCCUGGCUGAGAUGCAGGGCACUGAUAUUAUGGGGCACCUUGUCAAGGAGCUGCAGAUGGUGGCUGGCUGUUCCCAGCCCUCUUUUCCCUGCUUCACUUCCCUCAGGGAUCACCUUUGCUGCCACUCUGUUGCCUGCCGGCAAACACGGACAGCACAGACUGCAGCCACUCAGUUGGUCCCACAUGGCUCUGAUUUCCAAUUCUGCACAAGCCACAGCCACCAGGCCUGGAAGGCAAUUACAAAGUCUGUCAAAUACUGCCAGUUACAAGGCAGCGUUCUGCUGAGAGCGUGGCCUGGUACUGAUCACUACAGGCUCUAAACCCAGCCUUUUUUUCUUUUGCUUCAAUUACAGGGCCUUGAAAGCAUCUUGUGUUUUCAGUUGUGAUUGUCAUCACACUUCAAUGCAGCAUGUGCCAUGGCACGUGUGUGAGCACAGCUGGGUUUCUAUACAAAACCAAAGAUAUUUCGCUCUACAGGCCUGUGCAUACAGUCCCCACAAUCUGCUAACAGCCAAAUGUGUUGGGCUACCAUUUCCAGUGGAGGAUCAAAGAGUAUACUUAAGUGUUUCUAAUUCAACAUCCAAGUAACUACAGAAAGUCACAGGCAAUGGGGGUGGCACGGGAGUGGAGGGAAUGAGGUGUUAGAAGAGCGUCUUCGCUGGGUGCACAUGUGCAGAUUUGGCUGCACACGUGGGACUCACUGUUAGGGUACUGCAGCCAGAGACAGGGGUGUUCUCCUGACCAGAAUAACCCUCUAUUCCUGCUACGUGCCCUGGCCUAGCCACAGAGAGCAGCAGGGCUCCCAUGUGCCAGAGACUGAAAUGGUUAAUAGCUUAAACCUUGCUAAGAUCACCAAAAGACUUUUGUCCAUUGUAGCAAACUCCAAAGAAACAGCUGCUCAUCUACCGAAUCUCACCCCUCCCUGAAUAUGCCGACUGAUUUGGGCUGCAAAAGGACCUUGAGAUAAGGUGGUACUAUUGUCCAGCUAUGCAGGUCACAGGAGAAUGUAUCCAAAAGUGUAAGAGAUUGAAUUGCUAACAUUUGACCUCCUGCAGUGACCGCCCAGGUGCUGCAAGAGAUUGGUGCUCAUGGCUCAAACAAUCUGGGUGCCUGGCUCCUGAUGCACAGCGUGGUCCCCAGGUGCAGAAGGGCAGGCACACCUGAGGUUACAAACUGGAUUUCAAGAUAAGGGAAGAGGAUGAUAAGGGGCAGGUCCUGCUAGGUGGGAUAGUCCUUCUUAUCAUUCCAGCAUCCUCCCUUACAUAAUGACUCAGCUGUGAAAACCCUCCUGGGAGCGCCAAGGACAUUCACACAUAGUCAUCCCGGAUGAUGCACCAUAAUGGGUCCGUGAUUGAUUCAACUAGUGUGAGAGACAGCUGCAGACAGUCUUAGAAGGUGUCUAAGAUGUCUAAUACUGGAUCAGGAACACUGAAGACUCAUUGAGUGUUCCUGAUCCAGUAUUACAUCAUCCAGGGGAGGUACCAGGGGCAUUUCCACCUAGCCCCUGAGCAAUAUAAGCCCUAUGAAAGGAGACUUUUGUGGAUUUUUUUUUCCUACCACUUGUGUACAGCCUGCAAUCACUGAGAAGACCAAUAGGAUGCCAUCAGAAUCUACAGAGUGGUGAUGUCUUUUUUCUACUUGAUCUGUUUCUCUGUCGCUCUCUUUGCGUUCCCCUUACCUCUCUCUACCACUCAUUUACUUUUAAAUAAAAUCCAUGCUAUUGACUU